GGUUAGGUGCGCGGGCGCCUGGCAGCAGGGCUCGGGCGGGGCCCCGCCCAGAGGACAUUUGGCCGUUCGUUUCUCCCUCGGAACGGAAAGCAAGGACUUCAGGUAGAUCCCGGGAUUCACCCUUGGGCAGCUCUUGCACCCUAGCCAGGAGAGUGCUUGGGGAGGAUUCAGCAGACAGCAAAGCAGUGUCCCCAGCUCUCAGCACGCAGGCAGGCAAGCAGUGGAACCACUGAGCUAAAUCCCCGGGCCCCAGAAUCACUUAUUUUUCAUAAGAGAAAUUACUGAGAAGCAGGCAUCCGUGAGAAAGCGUAAGUGCAUCAUCAGCUGCUCCAUGUCACAAACCCACACUCAGAGUGGCCCUGGGCUCUGGACACCUGGCGCGACGGUGCCACCCGCGUCUGUGUCCCCAGACCCACUGUGCUGUGUGGAGCCAGUGUCCCCUCUGACCCGGAGCCUCUAGGAGCUCUGUCCCUGGAGAAAAGCUUCGGGGACCUGAUACAGCCUGGGGUUGUUCAUCUAAAGGGCAAAACGGCCCUCAAGGUCCCCGACUUCUCCCUACCCCACCCCUCUUUUUUUUGCCAUCCUGGGGUUUGAACUCAGGGCCUUUGCACUGAGCUACAUCCCCAGCCCUUUUCCUUAUUUUUCAUUUUGGAGACAGCACCUCCCUAAGGCUGGGUUUGAACUUGUGAUCCUCCUGCCUCAGCCUCCCAGAGUCCUGGAAUUAUAGGUGUGCACCACCAGGCCCAGCUAACUUCCUUCUUCCUUUAUCACAGGAGGAAAUUUAACACUCAGAAAGGCAGGCAUAGAUGGGAUGGUCCUGUCCCUCCCUCCCUCCCUUCCUUCCACAGGGUCUCACUAUGUAGCCCAGGCUGGCCUUGAACUCAUGGUGAUCCUCCUGCUUCAGCCUCACCACAGCAGGCUUUUCCUUCCCCCCUCCUCCCAUCCCUCUCCCCCUCUUCCCUCCUCUUUGAGGCAGCGCCACGCCCUGCUCUGAGCUCCCAGCAGCCUGGUCUGUAGGCCCCGACCAUGACCAUGAUCACCAGGCUUGUCUGUGGCUCCUGAGCUUUGUUAACAAACGGCAUGGGCAGUGCUUGCUUCGGCAGCACAUAUACUAAAACAAACGGCGUGGGUGUGAUGGGUUUAAGGGCCAGAAGGCUGUGCUUACUCUAGUUUUGCUGACUUCUUUCUGCGAAGCUGAUCUCAGGUAUUUUACUUAGAUUUUUUAAAUUAUGUGGGGUCUUGCUCUUCCCCUGAGUGGGAAGUGGGCAUCUGUUCU
rnacentral:lncRNA from 1 species